rnacentral:rRNA from 1 species
UACGAAGGGGGCUAGCGUUGCUCGGAAUUACUGGGCGUAAAGCGCACGUAGGCGGCUUUCUAAGUCGGGGGUGAAAUCCUGGAGCUCAACUCCAGAACUGCCUUUGAUACUGAGGAGCUUGAGUCCGGGAGAGGUGAGUGGAACUGCGAGCGUAGAGGUGAAAUUCGUAGAUAUUCGCAAGAACACCAGUGGCGAAGGCGGCUCACUGGCCCGGUACUGACGCUGAGGUGCGAAAGCGUGGGGAGCAAACAGG